rnacentral:lncRNA from 1 species
AUUAAGUAGAGGGACCUAGAUAGGAAUCAAGGGCAACAGUGUUGCACGUUUGUUCAGAGCCUCUUAAAGCUCCACAAGAAGACAUCUGGAAGGCUUUCAGUCUCACCUCAGUCCCUUUCCAGUUAAUCCAGGCCCCUGUUCCCCACUGGCCCUCCUCACUUUGGGGGUGGAAAGGAUGCAUUUUAUGCAUCUGUCCCUCCUUAUUUUCACUUUAGCAAUUCCUCCCACCCUCCCCUUUUCUUCCUUCUACUCUACCUUCAGAACUAAUGACUGAAUGUGUCCAGGGCAGACCUCAGCUGGUUAACUGCUCACACUUAUCUGUGCGCAAAGCCCGCUGCCAGGCUGUCAAGAAGAGAGCUGUGGAGGCAGUAGAGAUUGCCUGUUAAUGAAGUGAUUGUGGGAGCUGGCAGUCUCUAGCCAGCAGAACACAGGCUGUAGCUGCUAACCCCUGAAACACAGCAUUAAGGACUAUCCUGUCAGCAAAUUCAUGAAUGUGAAGUUAACUCAGUGACCAUGGACUUUUAAUUUACUUGGUCCUGAUUGUUUUUGUCCUUAAGUUUUAAAUGAAACAUACCUUAAAAUCCAUGUAAGAUACCUCUAAAAACUUGAAGCAACCAGAGACUCUACCUGGUGGGACACUUGUGAUUCUACAUUUCACAGGGGGAACACUUGGAAACCUCACAUUCCUAGUAAGUGGACGACAUAACAGCUUUGUAACUGAGAGAGACCCAUCUCCAAGCCCAUCAAAAGAUUCUAAACAGCUACAAGUCUAACAAAGGUAGGCAGUAAAUAAAAAUAAUUCUUUACAAUAAAAAGAACCGUUUGGUGAAAGUGGAUGAGUGGUUUAUGUAGCUGAAACUUGCUUCUUAAAUUUGAAAACAGUCAUGCAUUAGGAUGGAUGGUAUUCAUGGAGAUAUUCUCUGUAGUAUCUUUGUAGUAAAUCAAAAAUGGAAACGUGAUUGAACUGCUAAUGUGAUCACAAGAUAUAGAAAACAGAUUUGGUGUAUCUAGAUUUUCUGUUUUUCUUAUAUUGUUUUCCUCUUUUAUAAAUUAUCUGUACUGUUUUGCAACAAUUUUUCUUAUCUCUGAGUUUUAUUGGCUUUGAGUAUUAUGUUUUCUUUCUAAUUAAAAAGUCUAUAAUGAGGGAAAUUUUUAGUUAUGAGUCAUUGUAGCCAGUAGCCAAGAAAAUAUAUGUAUUCAUAUACUUAAACAAAUAAAUUAAUUGUGUAGGAUGUUUUGCAAUGUCAUUAUUUGUAUUUACCUUUUAUGGCUUAGAAAUUAUUUUCAAUGCAACAUUUUCAGAGGAAAUGAAAUUCACCUUUUUCUUUGGUUAAUUACCAUUUGACUAUUAUUUGGGGAAAAAAAGUAAUCUUUUUUUAAAGUACUAUGGUGAAAGCUCUCUAGCUUAUAUUUUUUAGCAAAAUUACUAACAAUUUCCCUUUUUAACUCUUUCCUCAGAAGAGUAGCACUUCAUGAAUAGAAAAAAAUGCAUCUAUGUGAGUUAUCCAAAAGUCAUACAAUAGUUGUUUGGAUUUAUCAUGAUGGUGGUGAUUUGGCAAAAAUAUUUACCCACUUAAUUGCACAUAAUAUAAUUGAUUUCUGUUAGCCUAUAGGGAAAUAUCAAAAAUAUAUGCACAGUGGGACUAGUGUGCUUUCUUGGUGUUAACAGUUUUGGAGAAUGUGCAAAGUAAAUACACAUCAGAAGUAAGUAUACAAAGAGUUCAUUUCCUAGAAAGUAUUUUGGUUUAGUCAUUUUUAACAUGUAGUUUUAAAGAUUAUGUUAUGAAAAUUAUCAGAAUGAUAACAGUCUUAUUUAGUGAGAAUCACCAAUUUUCAUGUUAAAAAAAUUUCGGACCACCUAAAUAAUCUUACUUCCCAAGCCUGGCUCACUUCGACUAUUGAGAACACAGUCUUUUAUUUGCCCAAGAAUGCAAACAGAUUUUGUUGUAUACAGUGAAUUCAAAAUGGACUUUAAAGUAUUACAUACCAGAAAUUAAACAAAUUGCUUCUUAAACUUGAGAACAGUCUUGUAUUAGGAUGGAUGGUGUUCAUAGAGAUAUUUUAUUCUCUGUAGAACCUUUGUAUUAAGUAAAAAAUGGAGACAUAUGAUUAAAUUGGUCAUGUGAUCACAAUUAAGAUAGAGAAAACAUUUGAUAUAUCUAAAUUUCCUGUAUUUUUAAUGCUCCAUUUUCCUCUUAUAAUUGUACUGGUUUGUUUUUUUUUUCAUUUUUAGUAUCAGAAUACAAUCUUUGUAUAGAGUGGGUUUCAUCAAGCAAUAAAACAUUUAAUCAUAAAUAAUAAUGACUAUUGUAGAGAAGUGAGUGAAUCUUAUAAUUGCUGUCAGUAUCAAUGCCAUUGGAACUUCAUUCCCUUAAUCAAGUUUGUGAAAUAGGUAUUUUCUUGGCUAUUCUUUAUGUUCAUUUUAGAGUAAAAAUGAAAUCUCUAUAAUUUGCU